AGUCGAACGGUGAAGCUCCAGCUUGCUGGAGUGGAUCAGUGGCGAACGGGUGAGUAACACGUGAGCAACCUGCCCCAAACUCUGGAAUAAGCGCUGGAAACGGCGUCUAAUACUGGAUACGAGACCAACCUGCAUGGGUAUGGUUUGGAAAGUUUUUCGGUUUGGGAUGGGCUCGCGGCCUAUCAGCUUGUUGGUGAGGUAAUGGCUCACCAAGGCGACGACGGGUAGCCGGCCUGAGAGGGCGACCGGCCACACUGGGACUGAGACACGGCCCAGACUCCUACGGGAGGCAGCAGUGGGGAAUAUUGCACAAUGGGCGAAAGCCUGAUGCAGCGACGCCGCGUGAGGGAUGACGGCCUUCGGGUUGUAAACCUCUUUCAGCAGGGAAGAAGCGAAAGUGACGGUACCUGCAGAAGAAGCACCGGCUAACUACGUGCCAGCAGCCGCGGUAAUACGUAGGGUGCGAGCGUUGUCCGGAAUUAUUGGGCGUAAAGAGCUUGUAGGCGGUUUGUCGCGUCUGCUGUGAAAAUCCGGGGCUCAACCCCGGACUUGCAGUGGGUACGGGCAGACUAGAGUGUGGUAGGGGAGACUGGAAUUCCUGGUGUAGCGGUGAAAUGCGCAGAUAUCAGGAGGAACACCGAUGGCGAAGGCAGGUCUCUGGGCCACUACUGACGCUGAGAAGCGAAAGCAUGGGGAGCGAACAGGAUUAGAUACCCUGGUAGUCCAUGCCGUAAACGUUGGGAACUAGGUGUGGGUCUCAUUCCACGAGAUCCGUGCCGCAGCUAACGCAUUAAGUUCCCCGCCUGGGGAGUACGGCCGCAAGGCUAAAACUCAAAGGAAUUGACGGGGGCCCGCACAAGCGGCGGAGCAUGCGGAUUAAUUCGAUGCAACGCGAAGAACCUUACCAAGGCUUGACAUAUACCGGAAACUUCCAGAGAUGGUUGCCCCUUUUAGGUCGGUAUACAGGUGGUGCAUGGUUGUCGUCAGCUCGUGUCGUGAGAUGUUGGGUUAAGUCCCGCAACGAGCGCAACCCUCGUUCUAUGUUGCCAGCACGUAAUGGUGGGGACUCAUGGAAGACUGCCGGGGUCAACUCGGAGGAAGGUGGGGAUGACGUCAAAUCAUCAUGCCCCUUAUGUCUUGGGCUUC
rnacentral:rRNA from 1 species